rnacentral:rRNA from 1 species
AUCACUAAGCGGAGGAAAAGAAACUAACAAGGAUUCCCCCAGUAACGGCGAGUGAAGUGGGAAUAGCCCAGCACCGAAUCCCUCAGCCUUGCGCUGCCGGGACCUGUGGUGUUAGGGACGACCGCUGUCGUGUUGUUCGGGUGCCCAAGUCCUCCCGAUCGGGGCCUCUCCCACAGUGGGUGUCAGGCCUUUACCGGCACUCGUCGACACGGCUAUGGUCGCCCUCGGAGUCGGGUUGUUUGGGAAUGCAGCCCAAAGCUGGUGGUAAACUCCAUCUAAGGCUAAAUACUGACACGAGUCCGAUAG